CGGGGAGAGUGCGUGUGUGCGAGGGGGGAGAGGCAGGGGAAAACUGCAGAGAGCAAGAAGAAAGUGCGAUAGAAGCCCAGCCCCGGGUUGGUUUGCGUUACAUUAUUUUAUCAACAAAAUACCUUCUGAUUAACGGCGGGGUUUAGCGUCCGAAUUGUGCGCUGAAUUAUUGGUUUAAAUCGCCGACUAUCGCUGUUGCCGCGAACGGUGCGCGAGUCCAGGGGCACGCAGAGCUACCGUGUGCGGGAGGGCCGCGCAAAGUUGAUCUGCCCCGGGAAGCGAGCCUGCUCCGGCCGAGUGCUCGCCUCUCCGCCAGCGUGCUCGGCUGCCAAUGUGGUUUCUUUCCUCUGACAAUUCAUUGUGCUUUUAUAAAAAUUAAUUUUCCAGGGUUUGAAGAGAACGCCUCAUUCAAGCCGUGUUUGGCACCACUCUUCAUUAAGUGAUCGCUGCUAUCAAGCAAGCUGUGGAUGUCUUGGAGAGGGGGGAGGGAGGAGGUGGGAAGAGAGGGAAAUCCCUUUUUAGUUUGUGAUUAGGCUGCCAGGCUUUGAAAAGGGCUUAAAACAAAGUCAUGCGCAGCCUUUUGUAGGAUCCAGAUGUUAUGUAGAUUUUGGGUUGCAUGUUGAUUUGGAGCGGACCCGGCGGUGAGCUCUGUCUUUACGUAUGUGUGUUGCUGGACUUUGUGUAGAUCGCCGUUGCAUGCGGGGAACGUACGCUGAAGUAUUAGCUCGGUAAUGCCUUCUAAUGGUAGUGCUAAUUACAGUGGGGUUAUUUAGCAAAUUAAGUGAGAUGAUGCACCCCCCACCCUCGAGCACCAAAUGAACUUUCCCAAACACACACGCACACACACGCGCGUUAAUUUUGGUGUGUUCUCUCGCCCAAUCGCUUUGCGGGAGCUACAUCAUGCCUUACCUCAGAGCAGUCAAUUACCAGAGCUGCCCGGGAUCAUCAAUCAUGGGGAAUGCUUGAAGUUUAGGGGAGGAGCGAUGGUCAAACUAUCGAUUGCUGCAGUUUUGUCCUCCCCAACCCCCACCCUCGUUCACGGUCCCCUGCACAUAAAAUCUAAAACAGACUAUCCCGUUAAUAGUGGGAUUUAUCAAUGAUUUUGUACCUGGUUGUGAAUGUUGCCUCAUACAUAGAUGGCUUCUUAAAAUACACGGCAGAAAAAUAGGGUAUGUUUAGUUAGAUUUUGGUUUGCUUUGCUUUGCUUUUCUUGACGAUUAUGAUGAUUUUAAGAUUUUUUGUAAUUAAAAAAAAACUUUAAGAAAAUUACUCAAGGGGUAGUCCUAGAUACUUGGCCCGAUUUUAAUAGGCGUAGGGAAUGAGCUCCAGAGGUCAAUAAACCCCUCCAAAAUGAUGAAUGAUUGAGUACCUGUGAUGAUGAUAGUGAUUACUGGAGCAAUUAAACAGUUUGAUUAAAUGAGCCAUCAUAACAAUGAUGUCUACGGGAAAUCAGCCCUCACAUAUAAAGAAAGAUAGUGUGAAGGGCUGACAAAUGCCAGUGGGCAUUCCUGCGUGUUCCGGCAGUGCGGAGCCCUGCAGAGCAGGGGUCUAUUUACAAAUAGGGGGGCAAUAUGGAGAAAAAAAACUCCCUCUCCUACUUUUAGCCAGAGUUGCACCCUGCUUAAAACCUGCCAGAAGCCGGAGAGCAGACCCGAUUUGAGAGGAUCUCCUCCAAGAUUAAAGCUAGUCCUAAGAGCAACAGAAUUGCUGUGACUGACUUUCACGGGACAGUAAAGAGAGAGUUGAAGCCUUUUUCCUCUUCGCCAUUCCAGUGGAUUAAAGCACACAGAGAACAUGGUUUAUAAAGCACUACAGUUUAGCCAUUAAAAAGAAAUCACAAUUUAGCGCCCUUAAGUGAAAGUACUCCGCUAUUAACAAAGAUGCUGUGAGGAACUCGGAGGAAAAUAGGCCCGGUGACAUGUGUCUUUUAAAACACAGUAAUUCAGAUCUCCUCAAAAGUCCAAAGAGAAAUGAUGUGCCCGAUAUGGAAGUGCAUCUCAGUCAACAGCCAGCUCCUUUUGCCGAGGCUGGAAAUGGUUUUAACAGGCAGUAAAAUUUCAUCUUGUGGUGUCAAAUUGAGGUCAGUGUGGGGUUAGUGCUCUCAGUGUCCGAGCAGGAGCUGUCCAGCUGCGUGGGGAUUCAUUAGGGGCAAAAGAUCUGUUUCAAGAAAAACAAUACAAAGACAAUCAGAGGGCUAAAGAUCUUCUUCAAAUCGCAUUUUACAAGUGCACCAGAACAACUAUGGACGCUGAAACCUAUUCUCUUCAAACUCUCAAAUUGACUUUUUAGCCCUUGGAAGGGAGUGAGAGAGAAAAUCCUCUAAAACUUAAGAAGAGUCUGUUUUCAAUCAGCCUUUCCAAAAUGUGGCAUCUUAGUCCUUUGCUGGCUUUGAGACAUGCCUCGCUUGCUCUCUCCCUCUCUCUCUCUUCCCCCCCCUCCACCCAGCCUUGCACAAGCUGACGGCACAACAGGUAAUAUUUCAGGUUUCAAGAAUAUAUCCCACUGGGGAUCUUAAACCACUAAUUUCUGUGUGCGUGUGCACCCAGUGCAAGAUUAAAUGUGAAUACAAGGUUUUUCUGGGUAAACAAGCCAUGCUUGCGUGAAAUCCUAUUGGACCCCUUCUGAAAUUUUCUAAACUCCUUGUAGGCGAUGCUCCGUUCUGAUGGGUAAUUUAAGCUAGAUUUACUUUACUGUUCCUAGCAUUUGUGGAAAGCACCUAUUGCUAAUCUGGUUUAUUAAAUUCGCGUGGUUUAAAUCCUCUUAGCGUCCCUACAUCUGUUAGAACAAUUGACGCCUUGCUACAGGGACAAAUAACUCCAACCUUAAUCUUGUUUGUAACUUUAUUCAAUGUUUAUUUGUUUGUGGGCUGAGUUCAAGUAUUUUUCAGCGAUGCCAUUGUGUUCAGAAACACAUAAGCUGCAUUUGCAGGCAAGACUCCCCACGGACGGGCUAAGGACAUCACAGAACAGCUUGAAAAAUUUUGCGUGUUUGAACUGGCACUUUAUCUCGAACUAUCAUUCUAGGGAAUGUGUCAUAUUUAAUGAAGAAUGCAUUCUAUCCGUUAAAAUGUUGCUCGGGGACUACAUCACCAUGACCCCAUAGUAAAAUCCAUGGGGGUUUUUCUUUUUGUUUUGCUCUCAAGGCGAAGUGUGGGGUCUAGCACCUUUUCAUUUUUAUAAUCAGGCUUAUGCCACAGUUCAGAAUCUUACCCCCAAAUUCGCUCUUUACCAUACUUCCCAUUGCCUUUACCGUUGGUUCUUACAACUUGAGACAACUUGAGUAACUUUUUAUUCGUCUCAGCUCACUUUGAUUCGCCUCCGACUUCUCGCAGCUGCAGGACUUUAGAGGUCCCAUCUUGGGUGCCCCUGUGAAAUCAUGCACGUUUCAGCUUCUGCAGAUCACUGAGUUCAUUUAGCUCCUCACCCUGACCCCCCCCCCCACUUCGCUUUUUUUCGAAAACAUCUUUCCAGUCUAGAAAGUCAAUGGUAGCCAAUCACGGUGAACUUUUCUUGACCUCGACUACGGUAUGAACUGAGAUCUUUGGGAGCUGGAUUAGGAGGAGGUUCAUUUACUUACCUGUUAACAUCCCUCUUUCUUACCCGCCUCCCCCACCCCUCCCUUUUCUUUUGAAGAAAUAGCCGCCCUCCGGGCAGCGAGAGCGGAGCAGGUCCGUCUCCCCGCCGAGCCUCUUUGUCCCCCGCCCCGGGCGCGGGGACUGUGCCCUCCGCCCCCGCCGCCGCUCCGGCCGCCGGGCGGCGCGGUCCGCGGCGCUCUAGCGCUACCUGGCGGGGCUCCAUCUCCUUCCCACCGCUUGACACACGCGGGGCUCCCCUGCGGGGCGCGGAGCGGAGCGGAGAAGCCCCGUCCCGGCUUCGCGUCUCCGACUCCCAUGGAGCUUCGGGAGGUUUUGGUCUUGACUGUGUCCCACGUCCCCUCCGUAUGCCCGACCAGGCGAACCGUAGGGCGAGGGCACGGCUCGGUGGGCAGGAACACAACUGGGACCCCCCUCCCUCCGCGUUCGGCCCGGUCGGUUCAUGUGGAUACGUGUGAAGCGCUAGGGUCAGACGAGUUUUUUAUUUUUAAUAAAACCUCCUUAGUCUGGGAGGUUUGUACAAGCUAAGACCACAGGCAGCCAACGCGCGUGUUUCCAUCAGAAACCAGAAAAAUACCUGCCGUGGCUUCCCGUUACCGCCGCGCGGGCUGCCUCCGCCAGCGCAGUUACACACCGAGUUUGCAUUUGUUCGAAGAAGCCCGAAGCACUAGCAAAAUCCAUCUUUCCAGCGUGACAUCGUAACAGAAGGGACAGUUAGGGCAAACUAAAUCGCUUUGGUGCAAUAUAAGAGCAUCCGAGAAGGCUCCAAACUCUUCUCGGAGCUCUGUCUUCUCUCUCGCACCAAAUACUCACUUUUGUUCCCCCACUGCCUAUAACGCUCCAGAAGAGAAGCGCUCUCGUUUUCACACCGGAGUUCUCGGUCCGGGGAGAACAACAAACAUCUUCCUACCGGUUUUGAAAAGAUACGGAGCCUCUCACAACACACGGAAGAUCACUCGAAGCUCCAGUCUCCUUUUUUUUGUUGUUUUUUGUUGUUUUGUGGGGUGGGUUUUUUUGUUGUUGUUGUUGUUCCCAAGAGCUUCUCGGCCCAUUGUUUGAAGUGGGAUUCAGCGCGCAGCCCAAAGAGAAAAGAAAAAAAAAUUCUUAGGACCCUAGUUUCGAGGUGUACAGAGAAGAGUAGACGAAUUAUUACACCGUGUUUCCUAGAAGUGCGUGAUGAGACCCGGCGGGGUGUUUCCAAAAGAGAAGCUUUUUAUUUUUUUCCUUCCCCCUAAAAGAUUGUGGUUGCCUUUGUACGUCUUUCUUUUGAACCCACAAAGAUAAUGGAAUAUACAUAUAUGUAUUUGCUCUCCAUACAAUAAAUGCCAGGGCCCGUACAAUGCAAUAUGAGGCUGGUUAGUCCUCAUAAUGCUUAGUUUUGCUGUAAUUAAUUGAAAACAGUUAUUAGGUCGUCAUUGGCGAUAGCGUAAAUAAUUGCAGCAGAUUUUUACUUAAAAUUGACCGGUCACUGAGUGAUAGAUCGAUUCGAGGUAUAAAAAUGAUGUAUCAAAACAUCAAUGUCGAUUAUUUGAAAUAUUGUAGUCAAAUCUCUUUAUUGCUUCAUCGGUUAAGUGUCUGAAAGUGCUGUGUUCCAACAUAUAUUUAUGUUGUCAAUACUGUCAAAACUGUCAGUUUUAUUACAGUGGAUUUGUAAUACAUUUCGGAUUUGCUCAUUUACAUAAAAUGUCCACCCUAGAUACCCCUCCUUUUCCCCAUCUCUGGAAAUCUAUGUCAGUUUAGUGAAAGGAUUCAGGACUCAUAGCUGGGAAAAAAAAAAAAAAAGAAAAAAAAAAAAGACCAAAAAAGGGAUAUCGCUCCAUUAAGUCCAAUUUAAACGUCCCUUUGGAAAGCUUGGGCUAUUUCUAACUUAGCAUAACAGGGAAUUUCCCCCCCCCCCCCUUUAUUUCUUCAUUAGAAUUUAAACAUUUUUCUACUCUCACACCUAAUUUAAACCCUGCAGAACUGAGAGGCUGAGCCAGCGACGAGCCCAAGCCCACCUGUGAAUGCCUACACGCUCCCUACAAGAGCUACAACCCCCGACCCUCGCAGACGUGCGGGGGUUGGGUCCUGCUAGAAACAAGGAGACAAAAGGGGCAAUAAAUGUGUGUGAUCCUUUCGUAACGAUUUGGAGCCCAAAACUCAAAUUGGAAUAAAUAUUGGGCAUUUGAUGCCCCCUCACUCCCAUUUUAUCAGUGUCUGACGUGCUCUGUUUAUUUGCUUUAAUUGUAAGCACUGUUUUUUUAUAAGCAUGGUGUCAGACACCUCUCUCUAAUUGUCUCCGAGAGCCGAGCUGAGGAAUGGAAAAACUCAAGAAUAAAUAAAUCCAUUUACACACUAAACUCCCUUCGAUUUAGCAAAGCAGGAAAAUUAGUCAAAUAACUUUAUUCCCCACCCGUUUCUUGAAGAUAGGUUGUUUUAAAGGCAUUGGUAAGGACCUGAGCUGCACGGGGCUGGGGGGAGGUUCUGCUAUUUUGGGGGGUUUUUUGUUUGGUUUUUUUUUUUUUUCCUCCCAAGGAUAUAUAUGUUUAAAGAGAGGCCGAAGAUAUUUCUGAGUUCACAGGGAAGAAGGAAAGGUUGGUUUGGGGAAUGGCAGCGCGACUGGCAGGUAUUUUAAUGACCAUCCGUUCCUUUGAACACUUUCAAUUUCUCUGCUUCUUUUCGUGUGGAAUAUCUUCCCCAGACCAAGUAUGAUUUCUGUUGUAAUUCUUGUGUGUGUUUGUGAUCACUGCUGAGGUAAAUUGAGAAGUAAGCUGCGCGAAAGUAGGAAAUCGCCCCUGGGGUGCUUUGUUUACUUUGGUUUGUAAAAUCCUGCUAGGAGAUGGUUUCCUCAGUGUGUGGCAAGUGUUUCUUCGAGAAAUUCAUCAGCCCUUCUACAAUUACUUCGAGCGUCGAGGGAAGAGAGCUGCCAUCACUUUCUCACAUCCCAAGGUGUUGCACGGAGGAGAGAAGAAAGGGCUGGAGCAUUUAAUUAUGAUGGGUGAUGGGGUGGGGGAAACGGAGGCAUCAGAAAGCCUUCCCAAGCCUGUACCUGGAAAAGAAAAAUCUAUGCGGGUAUGUUUGGGAGACAUGUGCCAUUCAGAGAUGAGGAAAGUACCCCAUCUUGUGCAGUAAUUAGUCUGAACAAUAAACAUAAUUGGAAUAAAAUCAGUUGGAAAUUC